GAUGAACGCUGGCGGCGUGCCUAAUACAUGCAAGUCGAGCGAACGGACGAGAAGCUUGCUUCUCUGAUGUUAGCGGCGGACGGGUGAGUAACACGUGGAUAACCUACCUAUAAGACUGGGAUAACUUCGGGAAACCGUAGCUAAUACCGGAUAAUAUUUUGAACCGCAUGGUUCAAAAGUGAAAGACGGUCUUGCUGUCACUUAUAGAUAGAUCCGCGCUGCAUUAGCUAGUUGGUAAGGUAACGGCUUACCAAGGCAACGAUGCAUAGCCGACCUGAGAGGGUGAUCGGCCACACUGGAACUGAGACACGGUCCAGACUCCUACGGGAGGCAGCAGUAGGGAAUCUUCCGCAAUGGGCGAAAGCCUGACGGAGCAACGCCGCGUGAGUGAUGAAGGUCUUCGGAUCGUAAAACUCUGUUAUUAGGGAAGAACAUAUGUGUAAGUAACUGCGCACAUCUUGACGGUACCUAAUCAGAAAGCCACGGCUAACUACGUG
rnacentral:rRNA from 1 species